rnacentral:ncRNA from 1 species
UACUUAUCAUAUUCGAAUGUCAUAUAAUUGAGAGAAAAAUAUUAAUAGUAGAUUACAAAAAGUAAAACAUUUACCAGUAAAAAGACUCCUAAAUGACCGCUCAGUGAUAAAGGAGGUAGGGGUGCGGAGACAGGCAGGAGGUUUGCCUAGAAGCAACCACCCUUGAAAGAGUGCAUAAUAGCUCACUGAUCAAGCGCUCUUGCACCGAAGAUGAAUGGGGUUAAGCGAUCUGCCGAAACUGUGGGGUAUAAAAAUAGAUCGGUAGGGGAGCGUUCCGCCUCAAAGGAAAGCCUCCGCACGAGCGAUGAUGGACGAAGCGGAAGCG